UACGAAGGGGGCAAGCGUUGUUCGGAAUUACUGGGCGUAAAGGGCGCGCAGGCGGCUGCUCAAGUCAGGCGUGAAAGGCCUGGGCUCAACCCGGGAAUUGCGCUUGAGACUGGGCUGGCUUGAGUGCGGGAGAGGAUGGUGGAAUUCCCAGUGUAGAGGUGAAAUUCGUAGAUAUUGGGAAGAACACCGGUGGCGAAGGCGGCAUCCUGGACCGAUACUGACGCUGAGGAGCGAAAGCCAGGGGAGCAAACGGG
rnacentral:rRNA from 1 species